UUUUUUUUUUUUUUUUUUUUUUUAAAGAUUGUCUCAGUUAUUCAGGAUCUCUUGAGAGUCUAUUUGAAUUUUAAGAUGGGUUCUCCUUCUAAGAAAAAAAAUCAGAUUUUUAUAGGAGUGGCAUGAAUCUAUAGAUCCCUUCGGACUGACAUUUUAACAUUUUUAUCUUGCAAUUGAUGAACAUGGGAGGUUUCCAUUUAUUUGUCUUUACGUUCUUUCAAGAAUAUUUUCACUGUACAAGUUCUCAGGAAGUUAUUUCCAGAGGUUUUUUGUUUUCUUUUUGCUUUUUAGGCCCACAUCUAUUGCAUAUGCAAGUUACCAGGCUAGAGGUCAAAUUGGAGCUACAGCUGCUGGCCUAUGCCACAGCCAGAGCCAGAUCCAAGCUGUGUCUGUGACAUCCACCACAGCUCCCAGCAACACCGGAUCUUUAACCCAGAGUGGGGCUAGGGAUAGAACCCACAUCCUCCUGGAUACUAGUCAGGUUCAUUUCUGUUAAGCCACAAGAGGAGUUCCUAAAGUUGGGUUUUUUUGUUUUGUUUUUGUUUUGUUUUUUUGCUUUUUAGGGCCACACCCACAGCAUUUGGAGGUUCCCAGACCAGGGAAACCUGGUCAAAUCAGAGCUACAGCUGCAGGCCUACACCGCAGACACAGCAACACAGGAUCCAAACUGCAUCUGUGACCUGCAUCACACCUCACAACAAUGCAGAUCCUUAAUCCAUUGAGCGAGGCCAGGGAUUGAACCCACCUCAUGUUUCCUAGUCGGAUUCAUUUCUGCUGCUCCACAAUAGGAACUCCCUUCCGAAGUAUUUUAUUACUUUUGAUGCUAUUGUGAAUGAAAUUGUUUUGGCAAUUUCCUUUGUAAUUGUUCAUUGCAUAUAGAAAUGGAAGUGAUUUUUGAGUGUGGAUGUUGUAUCGCCACUACUUCCCUGAACUCAGGUAUUAGUUCUAACAGCUUUUACUGUGAGGUCUUUAGGAUUGUCUACAUAAAAGAUCAUGUCAUCUGCAAACUGAUGUUUUACUUCCUUUCUAACUUGGAUGCCUUUUAUUUCUUCUUGCCCUGUUGCUCUAGCUAGAAAUUGUUAUUACCUUGAAUAGAAGUGUGAAAGUGGUCAUUCUUGUUUCUGAUCUUUGAGGAAAAAAAAACUCUCAGUUCCCAUUUGAGUAUGGUGUCUGGAGUGGGGUUUUCAAAAACGGCCUUUAUUAUGUUGAGGUGCUUUCCUUCUAUUGCUAGUUUUUGUUUUUGUUUUUUUUUUUUUUGCUAUUUCUUGGGCCGCUCCCACGGCAUAUGGAAGUUCCCAGGCUAGGGGUCUAAUGGGAGCUGUAGCCACCAGCCUACACCAGAGCCACAGCAACGCAGGAUCCGAGCCGCGUCUGCGACCUACACCACAGCUCACGGCAACGCCAGAUACUUAACCCACCGAGCCAAGGCCAGGAAUCGAACCCGCAAUCUCAUGGUUCCUAGUCGGAUUCAUUAACCACUGAGCCACGACGGGAACCCCAUUGGUUGUUUUUCUAAAUGUCUGGAAGAAUUCACCAAUGAAGCCAUUAGGAUCUGGAUUUUUUUGUUGGGAGAUUGUGGAUUACUGGUUCAAUCUGCUUACUAGCUAUAGAGGGAUUCAGAUUGUUUAUUUCUUCAUGAUUCAAUCCUGUAGGAUUUGUUUCCAGGAAUUUGUCCACUUCAUCUAGGUUAUCUAAUUGUGUGUACAGUUGUUCAUAGUAACCUUAUUAACCUUUAUUUCUGUAGAAUCAGUAAUGAUGUUCCCACUUCCAUUUCUGAUUUCAGUAAUUUGAGUCUUUUUUUUUUUUUUAGUCCGUCUCACUAAAGGUUUGUCGGUUUUGUUAAUCUUUUGAAACAAACCAACUUUUGGUUUUAUUGAUUCUAUUGCUUUCCUGUGCUCUAUUUUAUCUCUACUGUAAUAUUUAUUUUCUUCUGCUAGCUUUAGUUUAACUUCUUCUAUUUUCAGAGCAAUUUGGGCUCUGCAUGCCAGUUUGCUCUCAAAGCACUCACAGCAGUUUGGAAAAACAGCAGGGGGAGAUUUCCUCCAGGAAGGGAGGAAAGUUUGCAAGGAAGGAUUCUAACAAACAAGCCUAACAGUAGCCUCUACCUUUCUCUUGUUGCCUCUCAUAUUCCAGAUUUGUGGGUAUCCCACUUAACAACCAUAACAUUACAUUUUUAAAAUCCCCUACUUUCAUCCAGACCUUUCCUCUGGAAGGACUGUACAGAAGAGACAUAAAAGUAUUUCCAGGAAUUCCCAUCAUGGCUCAGCAGUAACGAACCCUGCUAGUAUCCAUGAGGACACGAGUUUGAUUCCUGGCCUCACUCAGUGGGUUAAGGAUCUGGUGUUACCAUGAUCGGUGGUGUAGACUGCAGAUGCAGCUCAGAUCCUGCGCUGCUACGGCUGUGGCAAAGGCCGGCAGCUACAGCUAUGAUUUAACCCUUAGCCUGAGAACUUCCAUACAUCUCGGGUGCGGCCCUAAAAAAAAAAAAAAAAAAAAA
rnacentral:lncRNA from 1 species